rnacentral:rRNA from 1 species
UCGCUGUGUGUUUACAAGUGUCACACGGUACUGCCGGUCUUUAAGCCGGAGGAAGGUGGGGAUGACGUCAAGUCAGCAUGGCCUUUAUGUCCUGGGCUACACACACGCUACAAUGGCCAACACAAUAGGUUGCUAAGCCGCGAGGUGGAGCCAAUCCUCAAAGUUGGUCUCAGUUCAGAUUGCAGGCUGCAACCCGCCUGCAUGAAGAUGGAGUUGCUAGUAACCGCAGGUCAGCUAUACUGCGGUGAAUACGUUCCCGGGCUU